rnacentral:rRNA from 1 species
AUUGAACGCUGGCGGCAUGCUUUACACAUGCAAGUCGAACGGUAACAGGGUGCUUGCACCGCUGACGAGUGGCGAACGGGUGAGUAAUGCGUCGGAACGUGCCGAGUAGUGGGGGAUAACGCAGCGAAAGUUGUGCUAAUACCGCAUACGUACUGAGGUAGAAAGUGGGGGACCGUCGGGCCUCACGCUAUUCGAGCGACCGACGUCUGAUUAGCUAGUAGGUGAGGUAAAGGCUCACCUAGGCGACGAUCAGUAGCGGGUCUGAGAGGGUGAUCCGCCACACUGGGACUGAGACACGGCCCAGACUCCUACGGGAGGCAGCAGUGGGGAAUUUUGGACAAUGGGCGAAAGCCUGAUCCAGCCAUGCCGCGUGUCUGAAGAAGGCCUUCGGGUUGUAAAGGACUUUUGUCAGGGAGGAAAUCCCUAGUGCUAAUAACACUGGGGGAUGACAGUACCUGAAGAAUAAGCACCGGCUAACUACGUGCCAGCAGCCGCCGUAA